CAAACGGUUCUUUUCAGAACCAUCGAAAAUACUUCUUACUUAGAGA
rfam:Aedes albopictus isolate Foshan contig41972, whole genome shotgun sequence.